rnacentral:rRNA from 1 species
GAUGAACGCUGGCGGCGUGCCUAAUACAUGCAAGUCGAGCGAACAGACGAGGAGCUUGCUCCUCUGACGUUAGCGGCGGACGGGUGAGUAACACGUGGAUAACCUACCUAUAAGACUGGGAUAACUUCGGGAAACCGGAGCUAAUACCGGAUAAUAUAUUGAACCGCAUGGUUCAAUAGUGAAAGACGGUUUUGCUGUCACUUAUAGAUGGAUCCGCGCCGUAUUAGCUAGUUGGUAAGGUAACGGCUUACCAAGGCGACGAUGCGUAGCCGACCUGAGAGGGUGAUCGGCCACACUGGAACUGAGACACGGUCCAGACUCCUACGGGAGGCAGCAGUAGGGAAUCUUCCGCAAUGGGCGAAAGCUUGACGGAGCAACGCCGCGUGAGUGAUGAAGGUCUUCGGAUCGUAAAACUCUGUUAUUAGGGAAGAACAAAUGUGUAAGUAACUAUGCACGUCUUGACGGUACCUAAUCAGAAAGCCACGGCUAACUACGUG